rnacentral:rRNA from 1 species
UACGAAGGGGGCUAGCGUUGCUCGGAAUCACUGGGCGUAAAGCGCACGUAGGCGGAUCGUUAAGUCGGGGGUGAAAUCCUGGAGCUCAACUCCAGAACUGCCUCCGAUACUGGCGAUCUUGGAGUCCGGGAGAGGUGAGUGGAACUCCGAGUGUAGAGGUGAAAUUCGUAGAUAUUCGGAAGAACACCAGUGGCGAAGGCGGCUCGCUGGACCGGUUCUGACGCUGAUGCGCGAAAGCGUGGGGAGCAAACGGG